rnacentral:rRNA from 1 species
CGCAUCUGUGCAUGCAGCAUAUCAAUAAGCGGAGGAAAAGAAACUAACAAGGAUUCCCUAGUAACGGCGAGUGAAGCGGGAAGAGCUCAAAUUUGAAAUCUUCAAGGUUUUACCUUGACGAAUUGUAGUUUAAAGAAGUGUUUUCUGCUGAGGUUUUGGUAAAAGUUCUUUGGAAUAGGACAUCAUAGAGGGUGAGAAUCCCGUAUUUGACCUUUACUUUCAACUUUGUGAUACACUUUCAAAGAGUCGGAUUGUUUGGGAAUGCAGUCCAAAAUGGGUGGUAAAUUUCAUCUAAAGCUAAAUAUUGGCGAGAGACCGAUAGCGAACAAGUACCGUGAGGGAAAGAUGAAAAGAACUUUGAAAAGAGAGUUAAACAGUACGUGAAAUUGUCAAAAGGGAAGCGUUUGACACCAGUGUUGUUUUUCUGAAAAUCAAUUAAAGAACUGUUUAUGCUAAGUUGUUUAGACUUUAUCAGCUAACUGUUUAGUUUUGAGCUUUUCUUUAAUGCACUUUUCAGUUAACAAGUCAACAUCAAUUUCUUUUGCUGUAAAAAAGCUUGAGGAAGGUGGCUUGAGAUUCGUCUUAAGUGUUUAUAGCCUCUUGCCUAUGCAGUCGGAGAGAUUGAGGUCUGCAGCGUAGAUCCUUCGGGGCUAAAUGCAUUUGUGCUAAGUUAUAGCAUUUUAUAGACAACUUGUUGACUAUGAUUUGUCUUGUAGCUUACUCGCUUAUGUUAUUUUACCUACGCUUAGGAUGUUGAUAGUCACAGCGUGUAC